GUAGUAUUCCCUCCGUCCCAAAAUUCUUGUCUUACAUUUGUUUAGAUACGGAUGUAUCUAACACUAAAAUGUAACUAGAUACAUCCGUAUUUAGACAAAUUUAAGACAAGAAUUUUGGGAUGGAGGAAGUACAAA
rnacentral:pre_miRNA from 1 species